rnacentral:lncRNA from 1 species
GGAGAUGAGCCUGCAGGCGGGGGGCUGUGCGAGUGCGCGGGGACGGGGGCUGCUGUUUCCGAGCCGAGAGCCCUGGUAGCGGGGCUCUGUGGGCGGAGACGCCCUCCCGAGCCUGGGCAUCUUCGGAGUGGGACUCUCGGGUCGGAGUUCCGCCGCCGGCCCAUCCAGUUUCAGCGGGUCGCCUUUGCCUCUGGGCCGGGUGGGGAGCCUCCCAUUCCAGAGACCCCCCGACUCCCUGCCCCUCGCGGCGUAGGGGCGCCCUUUCUGCGGCGCCGCGGGGCCGUCCUCUCCCCUCCCCGGGCGGCUGCAGCAGGGGCGCGGGAGCCCGCGGACUGCGGGGUUGCGGUCGCCCCUGCUUUGUGAGUUCCCG